rnacentral:rRNA from 1 species
GACGAACGCUGGCGGCGUGCUUAACACAUGCAAGUCGAACGGUGAAGCGCCUUCCUUUUUGGUGGGUGUGGAUGAGUGGCGAACGGGUGAGUAACACGUGAGUAACCUGCCCCCUUCUUCUGGAUAACCGCAUGAAAGUGUGGCUAAUACGGGAUAUUCUGUGCCUGUCGCAUGAUGGGUCUGGGAAAGAUAUUGUUUCGGUGGGGGAUGGGCUCGCGGCCUAUCAGCUUGUUGGUGGGGUGAUGGCCUACCAAGGCGGUGACGGGUAGCCGGCCUGAGAGGGUGGACGGUCACACGGGGACUGAGACACGGCCCAGACUCCUACGGGAGGCAGCAGUGGGGAAUAUUGCACAAUGGGCGCAAGCCUGAUGCAGCGACGCCGCGUGAGGGAUGGAGGCCUUCGGGUUGUGAACCUCUUUCGCCAGUGAAGCAGGCCUGCCUCGUUUGUGGGUGGGUUGACGGUAGCUGGAUAAGAAGCGCCGGCUAACUACGUG